CCUACGGGAGGCAGCAGUGGGGAAUAUUGGGCAAUGGAGGCAACUCUUACCCAGCCAUGCCGCGUGAGUGAAGAAGGUCCUCGGAUUUUAAAGCUCUUUAAUUGGGGACGAAAAAAAUGACGGUACCCAAGGAAUAAGCUCCGGCUAACUACGUGCCAGCCGCCGCCGGAAUACGUAGGGGCCAAGCGUGGUUCGGUAUGAGUGGGCGGAAAGGGUGUGUAGGCGGUGUAGCAAGUUAGCAGUGUAAUACCUAGAGGUUAACUCAGUUGCUGCUGCUCAAACUGCGAUACUUGAGUGCAGUAGAGGAAAGCGGAAUUCCUAGUGUAGCGGUGGAAUGCGUAGAUAUUAGGAGGAACACCAGUGGCGAAGGCGACUUUCUGGACUGUAACUGACGCUGAGGCACGAAAGUGUGGGGAGCAAACAGGAUUAGAUACCCGAGUAGUC
rnacentral:rRNA from 1 species